rnacentral:rRNA from 1 species
GGAUUAGAUACCCUGGUAGUCCACGCCGUAAACGAUGUCUACUUGGAGGUUGUGGCCUUGAGCCGUGGCUUUCGGAGCUAACGCGUUAAGUAGACCGCCUGGGGAGUACGGUCGCAAGAUUAAAGCUCAAAUGAAUUGACGGGGGCCCGCACAAGCGGUGGAGCAUGUGGUUUAAUUCGAAGCAACGCGAAGAACCUUACCUGGCCUUGACAUCCUAAGAAGACUGCAGAGACGCAGUUGUGCCCUUCGGGGAACUUAGUGACAGGUGCUGCAUGGCUGUCGUCAGCUCGUGCUG